GCUACCAGCUGCAUGGAGCUACUGAGCCCUUCAAAUGUGGCUAACGUGACUGAGGAGCUUAAUUUUUUUUUUUUUUUUUUUAGGAGUUUCACUCUUGUUGCCCAGGCUGGAGUACAAUGGCGCCAUCUUAGCUCACUGCAACCUCUGCCUUCUGCGUUCAAGCGAUUCUCUUGCCUCAGCCUCCCGAUGGUUACAGCCUUCAGCCAUGAUUGUAAGAUUCCUGAGUCUUCAUCAGAAGCAGAGCAGACGUCCAGCGCCAUGAUUCCGAUACAGCCUGCAGAACUGUGAGCCAAUAAAACCUCUUUUCUUUAUAAAUUACCCAGUCUCACGUAUUUAUUCAAAGCAAUGCAAGAAUGGCCUAAUAGUUAUCUCAAUGAAAAUUGCACAAAACAAAUGUGCUAUCAAAGAAAAAAUCACCAUUUGAUUCUCUUGAAAUUAAAACGCCCUUCCCCAACUCAGCCAGGUUACCUUCUGGGAUAUAACUGGUUUUCUCUCCUAAGUAAGUUUUUCACAUAAAUCAAGGAGUCACCUCCCUAAAGAAUUUUCCCCCAAUGUGUGAAGGAGUCAGCACUUUGAUUAGCAAUUUUUCAUUGUUUCUUGACUGCUCUGAUCUGUUCUUAAGACUAUUUUUUAAAAUAAACUUUGGAGUCAUUUUAUAUUUACAGAGAAGUUGCAGAGUUCCUGUAUGCCUGUCAUCCAGUUCCCCCACCUCGUGCUAACAUCUUGCAUAACAAUGAUAUGUUUGUCAAAACUGAGAAAUUGGCAUUGAUACAUUAGUAUUAUUAAGCUACAAACUUCAUUCAGCUAUCACUAGUUUUGUCAUUGAUUUUUUUUUUCUAUUUUAGGAUCUGAUUCAGUAUACCACAUUGCAUUUAGUCAUCAUGCCCUUUUAAUAAAUAUUCAGCUGAAAGUGAAUCAUGCCAAAUCAUUAACUAUCGAAAGGUUCUCUGCUGCAUGACAGUAUAUAAAACCUGUGAAAUUCAACGUGAGGUGGGGAAAGCUGCCCAAAAUAGAACUUAGGCCAGUCAUCCGAAUGAGCAAAAUUAGUUGGAAAAAAAAUGUUUUCAGAUGGUGUCAAAGUGCAGUGUUAAACGUUUUGUUUCUUUGUCCUCCCCGCAUCCCAGAACUUUCUUCAGUUUGUCUCUCCUGGAAGGAUGAGCACCUCCACACUCAAGGUUUGACUAUAUUGAAACUACGUCAUUGAUCAUCAAAUCACAAGAAACAAGGAGUUUUAGUCUUCACUAGAAGCGCACCUAUGUGACCUUGAGCAAGUGUAUUCAGCCUUUCUUGGUCUCCCUUUCCCCAUCUGUAAAAUGAAUGUGUGGUUUGGUGAUGGCUGGUCUGUGGAUCCAUUGCAUCAGAAUCACCUGGAAAGCUACUGCAAAUGCUAAUUUGCAGGUCCUAGCCCAAUCAUGAAUAUCUUUGCACUUGGGCCAGGGGAUCUGUAGUUUCGUACACACACACACACACACACACACACACACACACACACACAGAGAGAGACACUCUCAGGUGAUUUGGAUGCACAGCAGGGUUUGGGACACAUUGGAUUAAACAAUCUGCCUGCUUGCCUGAGUUCAGAGGCAAAAAAAAAAAAAUGGCCCUUGGAUGUAUCCUUUAAUAGGAGGCCAAGAAACGGGAUCAGCCUCCUUGAGGAAGCAGGUUUGGUGCUUCAGGGAGCUACCAAGACUAUCUUCUUAAGAAGCAAUCACCACUUCCCAGGCUUCUCUUGCAUUCCACCUGGGAAUUCCGUGUAUAAUGCAUAUGUAGCCUACAAAGUCAAAGAACUGACUUUCUGCGCCUUUUAUUUAAAUUGGUUUCAUGGAAAGUGGCUAAAUAGGAGAACUGAGAUAAAUGAAAGUUUUACAAAGAUAUUGGAAUUUAACUAAAUAACAACUUAUCUUCGUUAUAUUUGAAGUUUCUGCACUGAUUACUUUUCAUUCCCUUCUCGGGAGUACAGAAUAAAAAGGAAAUGAUUUCACAUGAUACAAUAUGUUAAUCCACUCAUUUUAUCUGCACUCUGCCUUUUAAGAAACCCUCUUAACUGUAUUCCGAGGGGCAAUAAAUAACAAGGAAAUAUUGGCAAGUUGAUUUUGUCUGUGAUUUCUGCAAUUUUCUGUUUUAAUUGACAGAACCUCAGAGCUGAAAAAAGGGAUCAUAUAAUCAAGACAGAUUAUAGAUCAAACAAUUUUAUUAAAUGGGGAAGCUGAAGAAAACCAAAUUGCAAGCGGACAAUACCAUUAUAUAAAAUUUUCACUCAAUUCAUAAUUAGUCACUCCACAUCGUAAUUCUUGGAGGUAGCAAUUUUUCUGCAUUUUACAGAUUUAAAAACUGAGAUCAAACCCACAAGAUUUCAUACAGUAGGUGAUACAGAAAUUCAGUCCAGGUCCAAGGUCUCUAGUGUCAUGUUCCAGAGAUGAUUUUAGCAGGCUUAUUUAUGAACUAGAAAUAGUGGAUAAAGGUUUAAGGAAUAUACUACACAUCUACUUGAUGUAUGCAGUCAUUAAAAUGGACAAGUACCCUCAUAUACUGCAGAUGGGAGAAUAAAUUGAUCAUUGAGCCAGGUGCAGUGAUUCGUGCCCAUAGUCUGAACUACUUGGGAGGCUGAAGUGGGCAGAUUGCUUGAGCCCAGGAGUAUGAGGCUGCAGUGAGUUCUGAUUGCACUGCUGCAUUCCAGCCUGGGCAACAGAGCAAGACCUCACCUCUUAAAAAGAUAAAAAUAAUUGAUGCAAUCAGUCCAGAAACCGAUUUAGCAAUAUCCAUAAAGUGUCUUUUCAAAGUUCAUACCCUUUGGCCCAAUAAUUCACUCUCUAGGAACUUAUCCUAAGGCAAUGAUCAGAAAUUUGGCAAGAGGCUUAUUUGCAAAACUCUGCAUUAAAACAGUACUUUAAAAAUGAAAAACCUGGAAGGAAACUAAAGGUUUAAAAUUAAUGAGUUAGAUAAGUGAUGGCUUUUUACAUGCUAUAAUAUCACAUAUACACAAUGAAAAGGUGUUUUAGUGGUAUAGGAAACUGCUUUUAAUAUUUUAAGAAAAAAGGCAUGAUCAAAAUAUUUUAUGUCUACUAUGAUCCCAAUAUUGUUGAAAGAAAAAUGUGUGCAUGUGUAAAGAAAGCAGGACUGAAAAGGAAUAAGUUAAAAUAUUUAAAGAGUCUUGAAAAGGAAUGUUAAGGUGGUUCUCUCUCUGUGGUGAAAUUACAGCACGUUCUUUGGUCUCUUCUUCGAG
ensembl:lncRNA